AUUGAACGCUGGCGGCAGGCCUAACACAUGCAAGUCGAGCGCGAGGGGGACGGGAGAGUAAUGUAUGGGGACUGCUCGAUAGAGGGGGAUAACUACUGGAAACGGUGACUAAUACCGCAUACUAUGGGAUAAUGGAUAUGGGAUUAGCUAGUGGGUUGGGUAAAGGCUCACCUAGGCGACGAUCUAUAGCUGGUCUGAGAGGAUGAUCAGCCACACUGGGACUGAGAGACGGCCCAGACUCCUACGGAGGCGGCGGUGGAGUGUAUUGCACUAUGGGCGCAAGCCUGGUGCAACCAUGCCGCGUAUAUGAAGAAGGCCUUAGGGUUUUAAAGUACUUUCAGCUGGGAGGCGUUACCCUCAGAAGAAGCACCGGCUAACUCCGUGCCAGCCGCCGCGGUAAUUC
rnacentral:rRNA from 1 species